UUUCCGUAGGUGAACCUGCGGAAGGAUCAUUAUUGAAUGAACUUGGUAGUGGUUGUAGCUGGCUCUCUCGAGAGCAUGUGCACACCCGCCAUCUUUAUCUUUCCACCUGUGCACUUCUUGUAGAUUUUGGGAUUUGAAAACUUAUCCGGGGCAGCUCGGUCGGGAGGAGCUGCUGUAGCAAUACGGCUCUCCUUGACAAGUCUUCAAAGUCUAUGUUUUUCAUAUACCCCAUAGUAUGUAACAGAAUGUAUACAAAUGAGCCUUAGUGCUUAUAAAACUUAUACAACUUUCAACAACGGAUCUCUUGGCUCUC
rnacentral:misc_RNA from 1 species